rfam:Candida tropicalis MYA-3404 genomic scaffold supercont3.1, whole genome shotgun sequence.
GGCGGAAUGGCCGAGCGGUCCAAGGCGUCAGGGUAAGGCGAGUUUAACAGACCACAAAGUCUUACCACCAUCAAUCCUGAUCUACGUAAGUAGGCGCGGGUUCAAAUCCCGUUUCCGUCA